rnacentral:rRNA from 1 species
UACAGAGGUCCCAAGCGUUGUUCGGAUUCACUGGGCGUAAAGGGUGCGUAGGCGGUCGGGUAAGUCUGAUGUGAAAUCUCACAGCUUAACUGUGAAACUGCAUUGGAUACUAUUCGGCUUGAGAGUUGGAGGGGGACUGGAAUUCUUGGUGUAGCAGUGAAAUGCGUAGAUAUCAAGAGGAACACCAGUGGCGAAGGCGAGUCCCUGGACAAACUUCUGACGCUGAGGCACGAAAGCUAGGGGAGCAAACAGG